AUCUGUCUCUGUGCCAGCCAAGGCCUGAAAUGCCAAGCACUUGACUCCAUUGUCCUUUUCAUUUUGCCAGGCAGUACCUGCCCCGAAGCUGCAAAGAAAAAUGCCCCGGAUGACUUAAUCUGAAAGGGCCAGAGAGCGUGGAAAUGUGACCGUGUAUGUGAAACCUUAUUCAUUUAAAAAUAUGAUCUAGUUGCAUCUGUAAUAAUUUCUAGAGCUUAAUGAUUUCUUCAUUUAUUUUCUAGAGCUCCAUAUCUACUUUAUAGCUAAUAGUAACCAUAAUCUCUGUUAUAGCUAGUAAUAUACUACUAAAAUGUAGUAGUGUACUAGUAUGGCUAUAGGAAAUAGCACAGAUUGCUUUUCUCUCUUCAUAGUUUUAGCUUUGAAUUGCCUAUGUUGAAACUCAAAUGUUUGUUUUCUAAUUUUUUGCACAUUCUCAAGAGCUAUUUUUUGUAGUCUGCUGGAAUUUUUCAUCCCCAUAUUUGCUUGGCAAUUUUUCUUACCCCCAAGCUGUCCAGUGUCUACUGUAGAAUUACGAUUCUGUAAAGAUCAACCUUUUAACUGUUGGAUGACUCCUCAUUGCUUACAGCAUUUUUUUUUUUUAAACUCUGUAUCUCUGGCUGGCCUGUUACCUCUCUGUUCUUGCUGUAUGGGAAGUAUCCAGGAACUCACUGAGGCACUGUGACAGAUACACAACUGAAGUACAAACGAAUGAUGCUCCAUGGGGCUGUCCUGGACCACGGAGGGAUGGGAGCCAAGAAGUGAGCCUGGAGGCAUUGUCAUGCCAUCGCCUUUCGUCUACUGAAACUCACAUUUCAGGUACUUCUCCCUCUUACACAAUAAAACAGCAAAGACAUGGGGUGGCGGGGGGGGGGGAAUCAAGUUGGCCUUGCAGCCUGGAAGCCUCUGGACUAGAUUUGCCUGGGCACCUUAGGGAGUUGGUAUUGACGCGCAGACAUGGAAACACAGAGUUUUAGAUUACUGAGCGAAAGAGAAAGAGAGAGAGGGAGAGAGAGUGGUGUAUCUGUGUGGGCUUGUGUGUUCUUUUUAAAAAAAAUUAUUUAAGUAUAGUUGAUUUGCAGUGUUAAUUUAUGCUCUAUAGCAAAGUGUGUCACUUAUACAUAUAUUUUUUUUCCACUAUGGUUUUUCACUAUAUUGAAUAUAGUUCCCUGUGUAUGCAGUAGGACCUUGUUUAUCUAUCCUAUAUAUAAUAGUUGGCCUCUGCUAAUCCCGAACUAUUUGUGUGUUGUUAACCUCUACUAGAUGGUUAUGAAGCUUACUCAAGGUUGAACACUGUAGAGGUAUUUCAAGUUGCUUUAGAGAGAAAAUUACCAAAAAAACCCCACAAAAACCUUUUUUAAAAAAAUGAUUUUUGUAUUUUCCAUUAUAGUUGGUUUAGAGUUUUCUGUGGUGGCUCUACUAUACAGCCAAGUGACCCAGUCAUACAUACAUAUAUACAUUCUUUUUGUUACAUUAUCCUCUAUCAUGCUCCAUCGCAAGUG
rnacentral:lncRNA from 1 species